UAACAAGGCUCCAGGGACACUAGCCACUUUGCUAAUCUUCAGGGAGGUGUCCAUGACAUGGCUGUCACCAUGAUGAGUCCUCGGGUUUUGCUUCUGCUGGUGCUGGUGGCUCUGGCUCUGAGCAUCUGUCUGGGUGUCGGCACUGGAAACUGGGGCUGUGCCAAUUACCGGGGUUUCUGCCGGGCCGCCUGCUUUCCCCAGGAGAUUUCUCUGGGCCCCAAGGACUGUGCUGGAGAGUUUGUCUGCUGUGUGUCAAGUGCUUCUGGAUAAGAGUGCCUUAGCCCAAGGAGUCUAUGGUACAUGAGAUGAAGCCCCACAGGAACUUUACUGGCCUUGGGAAGAACAUAAUUAUCAGCAAGUCCUGGAACCUGCACAAAACCUUCACUGUUUCAUUACAAUGAAUAGCGUGUGGAUAAUUUUGGUCUUGAUCCUUCCCAUUGAAAUCAAUGGGAAAAUCCCUAUUGACUUCAAUGGGAGAAGGAUGGGGCUGUUUCUCUGCCUUCUGUAAUAACAUUUAUCCAGUGCAGCAGCAUAAGUACCAGAUUUGGCUUUAUGAUUUUGGGAACCUUCAGUCAGAUUAUAACCUGCAGGGGGCACACCCAUCUCUGUUGUCUCUUUUCAUCCCCCACUCACAAUCUUCCCCACCUCCUUUUUCUCUGCCAAAUGGACACAUAGGCUAUAGAGUACCGAUCAAUGUGCUCAAAGAUGAAGUGGACUCAAAGUCCCCAGGUUCAUUGUGAGACUGUCCUGCCCACUGGUGGGUCUGGCACACUGGGAUGGCCCACAAAUUUCACAUAUUCCUAAAACCAACCCAGAUGUUCUGUGACAGGCCCUGUUUCUUUAGUUUAGGGAUCAAUCCACUACAAUGCUUGACUGAUAUUUCAGUAAAAAGAACAGGAGUACUUGUGGCACCUUAGAGACUAACAAAUUUAUUUGAGCAUAAGCUUUCGUGGGCUAUAGCCCACUUCUUCAGAUGCAUAGA